rnacentral:rRNA from 1 species
CCUACGGGUGACAGCAGUGAGGAAUAUUGGUCAAUGGACGGAAGUCUGAACCAGCCAUGCCGCGUGCAGGAUGACGGCUCUAUGAGUUGUAAACUGCUUUUGUAUUAGGGUAAACACCCCUACGUGUAGGGGCUUGAAAGUAUCGUACGAAUAAGGAUCGGCUAACUCCGUGCCAGCAGCCGCGGUAAUACGGAGGAUGCGAGCGUUAUCCGGAUUUAUUGGGUUUAAAGGGUGCGUAGGCGGAUUUUUAAGUCAGCGGUAAAAUGUCCGGGCUCAACCCGGGCCGGCCGUUGAAACUGGGGAUCUUGAGUGGGCGAGAAGUAUGCGGAAUGCGUGGUGUAGCGGUGAAAUGCAUAGAUAUCACGCAGAACUCCGAUUGCGAAGGCAGCAUACCGGCGCCCGACUGACGCUGAGGCACGAAAGCGUGGGGAUCGAACAGGAUUAGAUACCCUUGUAGUC